rnacentral:rRNA from 1 species
GACGGAGGAUGCAAGCGUUAUCCGGAAUGAUUGGGCGUAAAGCGUCCGCAGGUGGCAGUUCAAGUCUGCUGUCAAAGACCGGGGCUUAACUUCGGAAAGGCAGUGGAAACUGAACAGCUAGAGUAUGGUAGGGGCAGAGGGAAUUCCUGGUGUAGCGGUGAAAUGCGUAGAGAUCAGGAAGAACAUCGGUGGCGAAGGCGCUCUGCUGGACCAUAACUGACACUGAGAGACGAAAGCCAGGGGGAGCAAAACGGG